rnacentral:rRNA from 1 species
GAGGGAAAGGUGAAAAGCACCUCGAAGGAGGAGUGAAAUAGUACCUGAAACCGUGUGUCUGCAAGCAGUUAGAGCUAGUCAUCGUGCUAGCGAUAGCGUGCCUUUUGCAUAAUGAGCCGGCGAGUUAAUUUAUACUGCGAGGUUAAGUAGCAAGAGCUAUGGAGCCGAAGCGAAAGCGAGUGUUAAUAGCGCGUAUAGUCGUAUGAAUUAGACCCGAAACCAGAUGAUCUAUCCAUGUCCAGGUUGAAGUUUGGGUAACACCAAAUGGAGGACCGCACCGACCGACGUUUCAAAGUCGGCGGAUGAGGUGUGGAUAGGGGUGAAAGGCCAAACAAAUCUGGAGAUAGCUGGUUCUCUCCGAAAACUAUUUAGGUAGUGCCUUAUACUAAUUUUACGGAGGUAGAGCACUGAAUGGGCUAGGGGGCUUACCGGCUUACUGAACCCAAAUAAACUCCGAAUGCCGUAAAAUGUUGUAUAGGAGACAGGGCGUGUGGGAUAAGCUUCACGUCCGAAAGGGCAAGAACCCAGACCGACAGCUAAGGUCCCCAAGUAUAUGCUAAGUGAAUAAGGAUGUGCUAUUGCACAGACAGCCGGUAUAUUGGCUUAGAAGCAGCCAUUAUUUAAAGAGUGCGUAAUAGCUCACCGGUCGAGUGGUGAUGCACCGAAGAUGAACGGGACUGCAAGCAUAUCACCGAAGCUUCGGAGUGUAAUAUUGACUAUAUUACGAAAAAUUACAGGGAUCGACUUGCGUGUCGAAUCCUAGAUUUGGUUUAGAUAUCAAAUCACUAAAAAAAAUAAUACAAACAAAUUCACAACUAUUGUGAAUAUUUAAGGAGAAAAGAUGAAAAAAAUAAAAGUUGUUACAAUAUCAAUAUCUUUAAUGAUUGUAUUUGGAUUGCUGCUUGGUUGUACUCAGUCAUCUACGACUGACAAGCAUUCAAACAAUACAGGAUUAAUUACCUGUGGGCAUGAGAAUGCAGAGCAUCAUACUGAAGAAUAUUGGGUUCUUACAAUAUCAAAAGAAGAAUUUGAUAUAAAGUAUGCAAAAACCUAUUUUGAAACAAUAAAUGAGUAUUAUGAAGAUCAUAACUAUUUCGUUGAUUUAAAACUUUUAUCCGUUUUUAUCAAUGAGACUUUUCCUGGGUUAUUCAAGGAGUACUUAGGUGACCCUAAGUUACUUGGUGAUUUAGUGGGAGCCAAAACUUGUUGUAGCUCUAACCAAUUUUGUGCCAAACCGUGCAAAUGCAGAGACAUUAUACCUAAUUUUAAUUGUUCUGUUAGGUUAGAAUAUGAUGGACCCAUUACAGCUCCAGAAGAUUGAUAUAUAAUAUAAUAGUUUAAUUAAAUUAAAAAAUAUAGUAUAAUAAGAGCUUAUUUCUAAAUUAAAUAAGCGAUUCAAUCCACUUGACACGCAAGUCAAUCCCUGCAAUUUAGUAGGAAUAUAGUCAAACAAAUUACAUUGGUAGGAGAGCAUUGCAGCGGCAGUGAAGGCGUAUCGUGAGGUAUCCUGGAGCUUCUGCAAGAGACUAUGUCGGCAUGAGUAACGAUAAUGCGGGAUAAAAACCUGCACACCGUAAGCCUGAGGUUUCCUGGGUAAAGUUAAGCUUCCCAGGGUUAGUCGACCCCUAAGGUAAUGGCGCGAGCCGUAGCUGAUGGGAAACGGGUUAAUAUUCCCGUACAUGCGUAAUAUAUGAUGGAGUGACGCAGCUAUGAAGCGGAGACUGGUGUUGGAAGUCCAGUUGAACUUAUGUAGAAUGUCCGGUAGGCAAAUCCGCUGGGCGUGUAUUCGAGGUAAGGGACGAGGGUCUAAAGCCUAUAAAGUCCGUGUAUAAGGCUGCCGAGAAAUAACUUCUAGUGCUAAAUAUUACCAUAUCGUACCGCAAACCGCCACAGGUAGGCGAGGAGAGUAUCCUAAGGUGUUCGAGAGAAUUCUAGUUAAGGAACUAGGCAAAAUCACCCCGUAACUUCGGGAGAAGGGGUACCCUGUUAUUGUAGCGCUGCACAAGCGUGGCGAGAGAGGGUCGCAGUGAAGAGGCCCAAGCGACUGUUUAUCAAAAACACAGGUCUAUGCAAAGUAGUAAUACAAAGUAUAUAGACUGACACCUGCCCGGUGCUGGAAGGUUAAAAGGAGAGGUUAGCCGCAAGGCGAAGCUUCGAUCUGAAGCCCCAGUAAACGGCGGCCGUAACUAUAACGGUCCUAAGGUAGCGAAAUUCCUUGUCGGGUAAGUUCCGACCUGCACGAAUGGUGUAACGAUUUGGGCGCUGUCUCAACUAGGAUCUCGGUGAAAUUGAAUUGGUGGUGAAGAUGCCACCUACCCGCGAAAGGACGGAAAGACCCCGUGAACCUUUACUGUAGCUUGGUAUUGUACAUUGGUAAUGUAUGUGUAGGAUAGGUGGGAGGCUGUGAGACUGGCACGCUAGUGUCGGUGGAGCCGUCGUUGAAAUACCACCCUUAUAUUAUUGAUUUACUAACGCUAUUAAAGAUAGCGGACAUUGCCAGGUGGGCAGUUUGACUGGGGCGGUCGCCUCCGAAACAAUAACGGAGGCUUACAAAGGUUCCCUCCGGCUGGUUGGUAAUCAGCCAAAGAGCAUAAGAGUAUAAGGGAGCUUAACUGCGAGACUGACGGGUCGAGCAGAUGCGAAAGCAGGUUCUAGUGAUCCAGCGGUUCUGAAUGGAAGGGCCGUUGCUCAAAGGAUAAAAGGUACUCCGGGGAUAACAGGCUGAUACCGCCCAAGAGUUCAUAUCGACGGCGGUGUUUGGCACCUCGAUGUCGGCUCAACUCAUCCUGGGGCUGAAGAAGGUCCCAAGGGUUCGGCUGUUCGCCGAUUAAAGAGUUACGCGAGCUGGGUUCAGAACGUCGUGAGACAGUUCGGUCCCUAUCCUUCGUGGGCGUAGGAAAUUUGAGAGGUUCUACAUUUAGUACGAGAGGACCGGUGUGGACCAACCUCUGGUGUAUCGGUUGUGGCGCCAGCUGCAUCGCCGAGUAGCUACGUUGGGCAUGGAUAACCGCUGAAAGCAUCUAAGCGGGAAGCCACCCUCGAGAUUAGAUUUCCCAACGAGAUUCGUCGUAGACUACGACGUUGAUAGGUCACAGAUGUAAGUGUAGUAAUACAUUCAGUCGAGUGAUACUAAUAUUCCAUUGGCUUUUUUUA